AUUGAACGCUAGCGGGAUGCUUUACACAUGCAAGUCGAACGGCAGCGCGGACUUCGGUCUGGCGGCGAGUGGCGAACGGGUGAGUAAUGUAUCGGAACGUGCCCAGUAGCGGGGGAUAACUACGCGAAAGCGUAGCUAAUACCGCAUACGCCCUACGGGGGAAAGCAGGGGAUCGUAAGACCUUGCACUAUUGGAGCGGCCGAUAUCGGAUUAGCUAGUUGGUGAGGUAACGGCUCACCAAGGCGACGAUCCGUAGCUGGUUUGAGAGGACGACCAGCCACACUGGGACUGAGACACGGCCCAGACUCCUACGGGAGGCAGCAGUGGGGAAUUUUGGACAAUGGGGGCAACCCUGAUCCAGCCAUCCCGCGUGUGCGAUGAAGGCCUUCGGGUUGUAAAGCACUUUUGGCAGGAAAGAAAUGUCGCGGGCUAAUACCCCGUGGAACUGACGGUACCUGCAGAAUAAGCACCGGCUAACUACGUG
rnacentral:rRNA from 1 species